rnacentral:rRNA from 1 species
UACGAAGGGGGCUAGCGUUGCUCGGAAUCACUGGGCGUAAAGGGUGCGUAGGCGGGUCUUUAAGUCAGGGGUGAAAUCCUGGAGCUCAACUCCAGAACUGCCUUUGAUACUGAGGAUCUUGAGUCCGGGAGAGGUGAGUGGAACUGCGAGUGUAGAGGUGAAAUUCGUAGAUAUUCGCAAGAACACCAGUGGCGAAGGCGGCUCACUGGCCCGAUACUGACGCUGAGGCACGAAAGCGUGGGGAGCAAACGGG